UCUCUCUCUCUACUCAACUAAUUUUUUUUUUCAAAGCGAGAAGUCACAUCUUACAAAUGAUUUAACUUUUGCAAGAACCACCCUCCUUAAACCCAGUGACAUUGUUCUCAUUCUCUUGGUACAAGGACACAGGGAAGGGAUUUCAACAAGGGGUUCCUCAUAAAACUUCCAACCGUUCUUCAUCUCAGGCCAAAUAAGUUUCAGUCAGAUCGAGCGUUCGGGGGAGGCCUCGGAAGCUUGAUGAGUGUCGAACUUGCUAACACAAAUGCGAAAGUAUUGAAAGCAUAACCAUCAGCCAUCAACUCCAACAAUUCAUGGACACAAGAGAAAGGAGGACAUCUACUUCAAUUCCUGGAUGGAAAAAAAAUGAAAAGAGCAGUAGCAGUUCCUUCUCAAUAGGAUGUGGGAAAUUUUCGCGAGUGACAACAUAUUUCAGCUUGGAAUGGAUACUCUUGCUCAUGUGCCUGACGGCGAUUCUGCUGAUACUACCUCUCAUUCUUCCGCCAUUGCCUCCCCCUCCUUCCAUGUUGCUGUUUCUCCCCAUUGCCAUCCUAAUUGUGCUCAUGAUAUUAGCUUUCAUGCCUUCUAACUUAAGAGAUUUGACCUACGCGCAUAGCGUAGUCCAUUUUGAAUUCGUCAUGCUCUUUGCAUUUACUUUGGCUUUACUUUUUAGAGUGUUGAAAGAGGAAGGGAAUUU